rnacentral:tRNA from 2 species
CCGUUGGUCAAGUGGUUAAGACACCGCCCUUUCACGGCGGUAACACGGGUUCGAAUCCCGUACGG